UACCGUGAAGGCACCACGGGAGAAUGUGUUUCUCUGUAGGUAGUGUGUAUGCGACUUACCUGAAUCCAAUUCCUCCAAGAUAAGAACACGUGAACCACGAGCUCCGGUCUGCGGAGGAACAGUCACAGUACACGAGGUUAACGAACGCAACCUGUUCCGUUCACUGCUGCUGCGCUGCAGGCUGGCGUUCCGGCGACACCUAGCGCGCACCGAGGGAACUACACACGACCGGGUGUGUAACCAGUAGAUUAUCUUUUUGAAUAAUAAUAAUUAUAAUUAUAAUAAUUAUAAAUUUCAUUCAUAGAGCACUUUCCAUUUCUAAAAGCAAGCUCAAAGUGCUAAACAUUUACCAUUCAUAUUUAUCAUUAGUUUGUUGUAUUGAAAACAUUACGUGCGUGUGUGUGUGUGUGUGUGUGUUAAAGAAACAUUCAAAUUAAAAUGUUUGAAUAUUUACCACAGUACAGUGCAGUAUUUUGCUUAAUAGCAAAUUUGUUGGAGAUUGACACAACUGAAGUAGAACAUCAACUGUGCCC
rnacentral:lncRNA from 1 species